rnacentral:rRNA from 1 species
CUAGCUGUAAACGAUGUAGACUUGGCGUUGGCGGAGUUAAAUCUGCCAGUGCCGGAGCAAACGCGUUAAGUCUACCGCCUGGGGACUACGACCGCAAGGUUAAAACUCAAAGGAAUUGAC